UGACCUCAAAUCAGGUAGGACUACCCGCUGAACUUAAGCAUAUCAAUAAGCGGAGGAAAAGAAACUAACAAGGAUUCCCCUAGUAACUGCGAGUGAAGCGGGAAAAGCUCAAAUUUAAAAUCUGGCAGUCUUUGGCUGUCCGAGUUGUAAUCUAGAGAAGUGCUAUCCGCGCUGGACCGUGUACAAGUCUCCUGGAAUGGAGCGUCAUAGAGGGUGAGAAUCCCGUCUUUGACACGGACUACCAGGGCUUUGUGAUGUGCUCUCAAAGAGUCGAGUUGUUUGGGAAUGCAGCUCAAAAUGGGUGGUAAAUUCCAUCUAAAGCUAAAUAUUGGCGAGAGACCGAUAGCGAACAAGUACCGUGAGGGAAAGAUGAAAAGAACUUUGGAAAGAGAGUUAAACAGUACGUGAAAUUGCUGAAAGGGAAACGCUUGAAGUCAGUCGCGUUGUCCAGGGAUCAACCUUGCUUUUGCUUGGUGCACUUYCUGGUUGACGGGUCAGCAUCAAUUUUGACUGUUGGAAAAAGAUCAAGGGAAUGUGGCAUCUCUGGAUGUGUUAUAGCCCUUGGUUGCAUACAAUGGUUGGGAUUGAGGAACUCAGCACGCCGCAAGGCCGGGUUUUUAACCACGUACGUGCUUA
rnacentral:rRNA from 1 species